rnacentral:rRNA from 1 species
CUCCUACGGGAGGCAGCAGUGGGGAAUAUUGGACAAUGGGCGAAAGCCUGAUCCAGCCAUUCCGCGUGUGUGAAGAAGGUCUUCGGAUUGUAAAGCACUUUAAGUUGGGAGGAAGGGCAGUUAUCUAAUACGUGAUUGUUUUGACGUUCCCGACAGAAUAAGCUCCGGCUAACUCUGUGCCAGCAGCCGCGGUAAUACAGAGGGUGCAAGCGUUAAUCGGAAUUACUGGGGGUAAAGCGCGCGUAGGUGGUUAGUUAAGUUGGAUGUGAAAUCCCCGGGCUCAACCUGGGAACUGCAUUCAAAACUGACUGACUAGAGUAUGGUAGAGGGUGGUGGAAUUUCCUGUGUAGCGGUGAAAUGCGUAGAUAUAGGAAGGAACACCAGUGGCGAAGGCGACCACCUGGACUGAUACUGACACUGAGGUGCGAAAGCGUGGGGGGCAACCAGGAUUAGAUACCCUGGUAGUCCACGCCGUAAACGAUGUCAACUAGCCGUUGGGGGCCUUGAGCUCUUAGUGGCGCAGCUAACGCAU